AGACAGCAGUAGCCGCGGUAAUACGUAGGGCGCAAGCGUUAUCCGGAAUUAUUGGGCGUAAAGAGCUCGUAGGCGGUUUGUCGCGUCUGCCGUGAAAGUCCGGGGCUCAACCCCGGAUCUGCGGUGGGUACGGGCAGACUAGAGUGAUGUAGGGGAGACUGGAAUUCCUGGUGUAGCGGUGAAAUGCGCAGAUAUCAGGAGGAACACCGAUGGCGAAGGCAGGUCUCUGGGCAUUAACUGACGCUGAGGAGCGAAAGCAUGGGGAGCGAACAGGAUUAGAUACCCCAGUAGUCCCUGUCUCUUAUAC
rnacentral:rRNA from 1 species